rnacentral:rRNA from 1 species
UACAGAGGUCUCAAGCGUUGUUCGGAUUCAUUGGGCGUAAAGGGUGCGUAGGUGGCGCUGUAAGUCGGGUGUGAAAUUUCGGAGCUUAACUCCGAAACUGCAUUCGAUACUGCGGUGCUUGAGGACUGGAGAGGAGACUGGAAUUCAUGGUGUAGCAGUGAAAUGCGUAGAGAUCAUGAGGAAGACCAGUGGCGAAGGCGGGUCUCUAGGCCGAUACUGACGCUGAGGAGCGAAAGCGUGGGGAGCGAACAGG